GACAGAGGGUGCAAACGUUGUUCGGAAUUACUGGGCGUAAAGCGUGUGUAGGCGGCAGGGCAAGUCGGAUGUGAAAGCCCACGGCUCAACCGUGGAAGUGCACCCGAAACUGCCCCGCUAGAGUCUCGGAGAGGAAGGUGGAAUGCUUGGUGUAGAGGUGAAAUUCGUAGAUAUCAAGCGGAACACCGGUGGCGAAGGCGGCCUUCUGGACGAUGACUGACGCUGAGACGCGAAAGCGUGGGGAGCAAACAGG
rnacentral:rRNA from 1 species